UUUAUAGAUUUUAUUAUUAUUUUAUUAUGUUUAAAUUAUACAUAUUAAAUAAUUAUUAAAAUACUAAUUUAGUCUUUUAUUAAAAUAUAUAGUUUUUAAAGUAUAUAGGAUUUUUAUAUUUUUUUGAUAUAUAAUUUACAACAAGCAUAAUAUUAAUAGUAAUUAAUUAAUAAAUUUUAAUUACUUUAUAAAUAUAUUAGUAAUAUAAUGUUUUUAUAAAAAAAAAUUUUUUGAUAAAACUAUAAAAAUAAUUAUUGAGUUUGAUGAUGGCUCUGAUUGAACGCUAUCCAAAGGCUUGACACAUGCUAAUCGUACGUUACUUAAUAAUAAAUAUGAAGUAAAGUGGUGUAAAGGUGAGUAUUAUAUAUUUUGGCUUCCUUAAAGUAAAGGUAAAUACUUUAUAUUAUGUAAUAGGUAAGUAUAUUAUCUAUGACGUAUGAAAAGAAAAAAUUUUUUUUCGCUUUAAGAUGCUCGCAAUAUAAUCAAGUAAGCAUUGGUUAAAGUAAUGAUUUAACUAACUUAAGCUUGUAGUCAUAACUGAGAGGUUUAUUGACCACAUUGGGCCCGAAAAAAUCCCAAUACGUGUAGUACAGCAGUGAGGAAUAUUGGUCAAUGGCCUAACGGCCGAACCAGCCAUUUGGGGGAAUGUAUAUUGACUAUGUCAAAUAAAGUUCUAGAUAGAUAAAUGAUAAUGACAUAUUUCUAUCUAUAUUGUCUUGACCAAUUCUUGUGCCAGCAGUCGCGGCAACACAAGUAAGACUAGUGUUAAUCAUCUUUAUUAGGUUUAAAGGGUACCUAGACAGUAAAUCCAGCCUUAAAAAGGAACAGAUUUACUAGAGUUUUAUAGGAGAGGUAAAUAUUAGGGCUAUUGGUGUAGAGAUAAAAUUUUUUGAUACUAAUGGAACGGAUAACGGUGAAAACAACCCUCUAUGUAAAAACUGACGUUAAGGGACGAAGGCUUGGGGAGCGAAUAGGAUUAGAUACCCUAGUAGUCCAGGCAGAAAAUUAUGAGUGUUAUAGACUAAAUAAAAAUUUGGUGUAUAAAUGAAAGUGUAAGCACUCCACCUCAAGAGUAAUGUGGCAACGCAGGAACUGAAAUCAUUAGACCGUAUUUGAAACCAGUAGUGAAGUAUGUUAUUUAAUUCGAUGACCCUCGAAAAACCUUACCACAAUUUGAAUAAUAUUUGUUAUAAGUCUUUUAAGAUUUAAAAUAUUACAGGCGUUGCACGGCUGUCUUCAGUUAAUGUCGUGAGAUUUUGGUUAGAUCCAUUAAAUUAACGUAAACCCUUGCUUUAUAAAAAUAAAUAAAGUAGUCCACCAGUAUACUGGAUAAGAUAAUAGGGACCAAGACAAGUCAUCAUGACCUUAAUAUUGUGGGCUGAUAUGUGUUGUGGGAAAACACUAGAUUGGCUAAAACUAUCAAACUCCGGGGACACUCUAAAGCUUCUGAUACCAAGCAGUAUACGAAAGUAUAUUAGUGGCUGAAGUAAUUACUCAGGUAUGGUAACAAGUCAGAAGAUGAACGAAAGUGAAAUGGGUUAUCGCGGAUCUAAAUCAGAUAUUAUUAGUAAAGAAUCUGUAAAAGAGCAACGAGUAGACGGUAGUUGACCUCUUUUUAUACAAGCCAAUCCAAAUAAUAUAAAAAGAAGUUUAAGGUAUACUCUAAUGG
rnacentral:rRNA from 1 species